UACGGAGGGUGCAAGCGUUAUCCGGAUUCACUGGGUUUAAAGGGUGCGUAGGCGGGCAGGUAAGUCAGUGGUGAAAUCUCCGAGCUUAACCUGGAACUGCCGUUGAUACUAUUUGUCUUGAAUAUUGUGGAGGUAAGCGGAAUAUGUCAUGUAGCGGUGAAAUGCUUAGAUAUGACAUAGAACACCAAUUGCGAAGGCAGCUUACUACACAACGAUUGACGCUGAGGCACGAAAGCGUGGGGAUCAAACAGG
rnacentral:rRNA from 1 species